GUGCUCUUAACCUUCAUGUCUAUUGGCAGAAGUACUUGUAGUCUUGUAUUUGUUACAUCUUGGCUCACUGGAUUGAAUAUUAUCUCCUCUUCUAAUUUUGUCAUGUCUUCUUUUGUAAUGUAUGUCGCCGCAUUAUGACAUUCUGCUAGUUAACGUGUGUGUGGUUUGUCAGUAACUUUUUCCAAAGAUAUAUUUAGUUAGUAAUCUUUCCCCACAAGUACCUGUAUGUUGUGGGGCUUCGCUAUCUGGUCGGCAGGAUCAAUUUGUUUCUGAUCGACUCGUUCCCUUGAAGCAAAAUUGAGUGUGCUGCUCUUUCUUAAUCUCUCCUCCAUCACCUUGCACAUUGUGUUUGGAGAACACAGGCGCAGCUAUACUCAUUUGACAUUAUAUAUAUAUAUGAAAUCUUUCCCCACAAGUACCUGUAUGUUGUGGGGCUUCGCUAUCUGGUCGGCAGGAUCAAUUUGUUUCUGAUCGACUCGUUCCCUUGAAGCAAAAUUGAGUGUGCUGCUCUUUCUUAAUCUCUCCUCCAUCACCUUGCACAUUGUGUUUGGAGAACACAGGCGCAGCUAUACUCAUUUGACAUUAUAUAUAUAUAUAUAUGAACAUAAGAUAUAGAUUUCAGGUUAAUAAGCUUAAUAAAUUUGUAUUCAAUUAAGUCUUAUUUUUGGCUUUUUAUUCUUUGC
rnacentral:lncRNA from 1 species